GCUCUACUCACCACCCUGCUUGUUGGCAGCCC
rnacentral:piRNA from 1 species